CGUGUAGACGGUUGUCCUAAGUUGGAUGUGAAAGCCUUGAGCUCAACUCAAGAAAUGCAUUCAGGACUGGAUGACUAGAGGACCGGAGAGGAUAGUGGAAUUCCCAGUGUAGUGGUGAAAUACGUAGAGAUUGGGAAGAACACCAGUGGCGAAGGCGGCUAUCUGGACGGUUUCUGACGCUAAGACGCGAAAGCGUGGGGAGCGAAACAGGAUUAGAUACCCUGGUAGUCCACGCCGUAAACGAUGGGUGCUAGACGUUGGCGGGCUUGCUCGUCAGUGUCGCAGCUAACGCGUUAAGCACCCCGCCUGGGGAGUACGGCCGCAAGGUUGAA
rnacentral:rRNA from 1 species